AAUUUCUAAAAAUUUUCAUUUUCAAGUAUUUGAUUCCGUUUAAAGAAUUUUUUAAUAUAUAUAAUUGAAUGUGUGUUUUCUAAUACUUGGUUUAUUAAUACAAUUUUAUUUUUUAUCGUAUUACGAAUUCGUCGACGUCAUUGACAGUGAAGCUGGUCCUGUUUAAUUAUGAUAAUGGAUCUAAAAUUUGGUGGGAGCGUCGGAUGCAAAUUUCCAAGAAUUACAAUGUGAAUUGUUUUUAAAACUCAUUCACAUUGUUGACAGGUCUGGUAUUAUAAGUAAAUAGUGAAAUAAACAUGGUUAUGAGACUAGGUGACCUAAGAGUGACAGAACUAAACACAGAAUAAUCGUGUGAAACGUUCGGGAAUUCGAGAGAUUCAAAGUGGCAUUGGUAACGUAAGUGACAGCUUUGAUUUAGAAACAUUUCUGUUCACAGUCUUUCAUUUUGAUCUUGUUAAUUUCUGAAAUUAAAAACGAUGAUUCUACUAAAAUGGAUGAGAAGAUUUCGAAAAAGGACGAUAUUUUGACUUUGAAAAACAAUAUUUCCGUCAAUUUGGAUAAGAAUACUCGUAUUUCAACUAUGAAUACUUCUGCCGAUAUUUUAUCAUUAAAAAUUGACAUUGCCGUUGAAGUUGGAAAUGACAUUUCACCCCUAAAAUCGAAUAUGGAGAAUAAAAUGACAACGAUGGACGAGAAAAUUAAGGAAUUAGGGAAAAAGAUUGCAAGGAAAUUCAAGAACACGAGACAUUCCAGCAGAGGAAAAGAAAGUCGAACAUAUAAAAUCAUGCAAUCCAAAAGCACAACUCAAGAGACAAUGAGCAAGUUCGAGACCUUAAAAAGACAUUUAACCACUGCACUGAUAUGAGGAUAUCCGUUACAAGAUAGGAACUUCAUUCUUGACUCAAGCAACGUAGGUACUGAAUAUAUUGUUUUCGCCAACACUCACAAUUAUGUGAGUGCCUCUUAGAUUACACUUGAUAACUUUCUUUCUCCAUUUAUUUGCAAUACUUCCAAGCUCUUAACAGCGAUUUUUCAACCACCUCCCUUAUAGUAUUAUGCCUUCACAAAUGUCUGCUUGGUGCCUCUACCACAUUAGAUCAACUGUUUCUCCAAACUCCGUCCAUACAGCUCAGGUUCACUUCAUUCCAAGCUGCAUCAAUAUGUUGUACAAUAUCAUAAUGUUAUAGUAUUUCCACAGAUCACGCAUAGAUUGUUGAAGAAAGAAAGGACAUUUUCAGCAGUUUUGUUUUUAGAUAGUAGAAAGUAGAGUUCUUACAACUAAGGCAAAUGAAAUCUUUGGGACAUACAUCUCAAUGCUCGAGGAAAAUUGUAUUUAAUAGUAGAAGCUUGGAAUAAUUCACACAUUUCUCACAUUAAAGUCGGUGUUACACAGAAGGAUCUAUUAGAUUAAUUUCAGCUACUGAGGAAUUUAAAGAGAAAAUAAUGUUUGUGAACCCGAAACAAAUGUGUAUCUAGCAUUUUUAAAUAUCUUUGGAAAAAAAUGUAAGUUUAAUAAUAAGAUUCUUUGUUUAUUUAGAACUAUUAUAUUAUAUUUUGUAGGGACGGACGGACCUUUAGAUAGACCUAUAUUUUGCUUGUGGGAGGGGGUUGUAGGAUUGUCUAUUGGUAUAGUGUGUACCUACCAUAAACGAGAACCAAUCUGAGAUAUAUGCAAGCCAUCCAUUGAUUGUAUCAAUUAUUAUUUGAGUGCAGAGUCAAUGAGCGUUGCAGAAGAUGCGUUUGCUCUAUAUGAAUGUAUCAAUAAUAAAGUUCUAGUUAAAGUCAAAGCAGCAGCUUCAAUUCAAUUAAUUGACAUAAAAAUAUGCAAUAUUAUACAGGAGGAACUUGAGAAGGAUUUUACAAAGAAUGUAUUCUUCACAAUCAAAUUCAAAGUUACCCAUCAUCCUUGGGAGAGACUGUACAGGAAUCGGUCCUAAAGUUACUAGAUUAGUAGUGAGAGAUGAAGUUUGAUGGUUGACUGUACCUUUUUGGAUGUAGAGUACAUUGAGUUAGUCGGUAUUAGUUGAAGAAAAUAGAAUCUGAACAAAACCAAAUAAUUCUGGAUUUAAAAGUGCUUGCACUCUUGAGUUUGGGCAACGAUUUUCGUGAAAAUCCAAUUUUCUUGUUUGAUUCCUAAUUUAAGUGUUUUUAUAGCGCCUGUCAUAUCCACAACCCGUUAUACGACUAGCAUAGAUAAAAUAAUACUUGAUAUAUUUCUGUACCUGCUUGCAUAAGCUAAUUACCAAUGAUAUUUUAACAAAACUAUAAUUAUUAUAUUUGUUGCGGAUAGAGUUCAAUAUUUUAUUUCUAUGAACCAAAAUGUUUUAUUUUCAAUUAUUUUAUUAUUCUUAUUGAUAUUUUUAUAUGACUAUAACUAUUAUAUUAGUUGCUAAUGAAGUUCAAUAUUUUAUUUUUAU